rnacentral:rRNA from 1 species
AGCGAACGCUGGCGGCAGGCCUAACACAUGCAAGUCGAACGAACUCUUCGGAGUUAGUGGCGGACGGGUGAGUAACACGUGGGAACGUGCCUUUUGGUUCGGAAUAACUCAGGGAAACUUGUCCUAAUACCGAAUGUGCCCUUCGGGGGUAAGAUUUAUCGCGAUUAGAGCGGCCCGCGUCUGAUUAGCUAGUUGGUGAGGUAACGGCUCACCAAGGCGACGAUCAGUAGCUGGUCUGAGAGGAUGACCAGCCACACUGGGGCUGAGACACGGCCCAGACUCCUACGGGAGGGAGCAGUGGGGAAUCUUGCGCAAUGGGCGAAGGGCUGACGCAGCCAUGCCGGGUGAAUGAUGAAGGUCUUAGGAUUGUAAAAUUCUUUCACCGGGGACGAUAAUGACGGUACCCGGAGAAGAAGCCCCGGCUAACUUCGUG